rnacentral:rRNA from 1 species
CCUACGGGUGGCAGCAGUGGGGAAUAUUGCACAAUGGGCGAAAGCCUGAUGCAGCAACGCCGCGUGAGCGAUGAAGGCCUUCGGGUCGUAAAGCCCUGUCCUCAAGGAAGAUAAUGACGGAGCGUGAGUGUUAACCCUCGGCCAACUACGAGCCAGCAGCCGCGGUAAUACGUAGGGGGAUAGCGUGAUCCGGAUUUACUGGGCGAAAGGUGAGCGGAGGUGGUUUCUUAAGUAAGGGGUGAAAGGCUACGGUUCAACCGUAGUAAGCCUUUGAAACUGGGGAACUUGAGUGCAGAAGAGGAGAGUGGAAUUCCAAGUGUAGCGGUGAAAUGCGUAGAUAUUAGGAGGAACACCAGUUGCGAAGGCGGCUCUCUGGACUGUAACUGACACUGAGGCACGAAAGCGUGGGGAGCAAACAGGAUUAGAUACCCGAGUAGUC